rnacentral:rRNA from 1 species
UACAGAGGGGGCAAGCGUUUAUUCGGAAUUAUUGGGCGUAAAGGGCGCGUAGGCGGCCUGGCAAGUGGAAGGUGAAAUCCCUCGGCUUAACCGAGGAACUGCCCUCCAAACUGCUUGGCUUGAGUCCGGGAGAGGUGAGUGGAAUUCCCAGUGUAGCGGUGAAAUGCGUAGAUAUCGGGAGGAACACCUGUGGCGAAAGCGGCGCACUGGACCACAACUGACGCUGGAGGCGCGAAAGCUGGGGGGAGCAAACAGG